AGAAAGUUGAACGUGUGGUGUAUCACGUUUUCCUAAAACGAUUUUAGACGUUAAUCUUUUCUGUGAAUCAACUAAAACUUUAUGUGGAGAAGGUGCAAAUAAAGUGAACCUUUGAUAGUUUACAAUGUUUGCCAAGCUUGGGCACUUAAAGUGCUAAGCAAACAGGGUUUUCUUGAAUAAUAUUAAAUAGCAUAGUUUUAUAUACUUGCCCUGAAUAUUAGAGUUAAAUAUUCAGCUUUUAAUGGUUUUUACUAAACUGUCACGUUCUAGGAAAAUUAGCUAUUGGUAAACCAUCUGACGACGUUCCUAAACUCCCAAAUGACUUCCUUCAGAUGGGCGCCUGUGUGACUUCCUGUUACUGCAUAAUGGCGACAGCAAAUCAAAUGUUCUGCCUGCUAUCAUCACUUAUGAGCAGAUAGAUUACGUAAUUUUUGGUUUAAAAUUUAUAAAUAUUUUUAAUUUUUAAAACUCCAAAAAUAUUUCACUAAUUAUAAAACUGGAGGUGGUGCAUUUUUGAGUUAUGUUAUAAAGUUUUAUUGUUUUGCCAUACA